rnacentral:rRNA from 1 species
CCUACGGGUGGCAGCAGUGGGGAAUAUUGGGCAAUGGGCGCAAGCCUGACCCAGCAACGCCGCGUGAAGGAAGAAGGCUUUCGGGUUGUAAACUUCUUUUAAGAGGGAAGAGCAGAAGACGGUACCUCUUGAAUAAGCCACGGCUAACUACGUGCCAGCAGCCGCGGUAAUACGUAGGUGGCAAGCGUUGUCCGGAUUUACUGGGUGUAAAGGGCGUGUAGCCGGGCUGACAAGUCAGAUGUGAAAUCCGGGGGCUCAACCCCCGAACUGCAUUUGAAACUGUUGGUCUUGAGUAUCGGAGAGGCAGGCGGAAUUCCUAGUGUAGCGGUGAAAUGCGUAGAUAUUAGGAGGAACACCGGUGGCGAAGGCGGCCUGCUGGACUGUGACUGACGUUGAGGCCCGAAGGCGUGGGGAGCAAACAGGAUUAGAUACCCCAGUAGUC